UCCAAAUGUCCAACCGUUGAAAGUUUACCUUCAGGGAAGACGACAGCACAGUUGCCACUCGGCUGCGGAAGUGAGUAACAUGAAGCGCACCAAAUUGAGCCACUUCAGUUUUGACACGCAACCAAUCUAAUAAGUACGGUAAACAAAAAGAAAGUCAAACACACCCUUUGACCAAACAACAGGCGCAAAACUAACAAGUGUACAUUACGGAUCACAGCAAUAGUGAAGGGAAAAGACUUGUAAGCUUCAAUAGGGAACCAUGAUGCGAUGAGGUCACCUACUGCGUAACGUCUUGGGGAGUGACGUCACAAAUGCGCCAUGUCACCUUUUCAGCAGCACGGUGGCAUGUCACGUGCACAUAAUUGAGAAAGUAGAGCCGUUCGCGUUUUCAAAAUGGGAAUAUCGUCCCUAAGGGGGCGUUUGUGACAGCUAACUACUAUCGUCAAAGUGUUAGCUAGCAUUAAAAAAAAAAAAAGUAACCAAUUCCUCAAUGGGAUUAUUCAUGAGUUAUGUGCGAGAAUGUAAAUUGGAAGCCAUGCCACUGAACUAUUCAAACCUUCAUCUGUCCUGCUGUUAAUAUUUUCAUCACGAAAAAAACAAACAAACAAAAAAAAAACCCUCCUCCCUUUACGCUGCCACGUUGCUCUCAUAUUUCUUGUUGGAAAUCGGAGGGUGAGUUAACGCAACCACCUGUGAGAUCUUGUGAAGUGGACCCCUUGAAUAGCCGAUUGUCGCAUGAAAAAGGUGUGAAAACAACCACGAGGAUCCUCGCAUUGAUGACAUUUCCUUUUGGGGAAAAAAUAUCCGACAGGAGCGUGGCGGUUUUACGAUAAUAUGCUAACCUUGGUUUACCUUGAUAUGAAAGCCUUUUUAGACUUGUUAACAUUUCCCUCAUUCAGACGUCGAUGUCAGAUUUGAAUGGAAUGAUAUCGAGGAUGACUUUUCAGAAUAGGAACGCGAGGCAAGAGAUCAACGUUGAAGCUUUUCUUCCCAGGUAUCUGACACGGAGAAAAUCUCACCUUGAGAUCAUCUCAAUUGGUAAUAUGGCAUGUGAGAGUGUUAAGUGAAUCGAUAAUAAUAAGUCACCACUUCCUAGCGCAACCUCUUUCAUUUAGCAUCGAUUCACUUUUCCACGAUCAAUGAUGAAACUCAGUAAUUAGGAUUGAAGGCGUCUAUAAAGUUAUAUAUAUCACCGAUGCACUGCUAUAAAUAAACCAAACUGUAGCUUAGCAACCAUUUAUAUGCAGGCCAGCUCGUCUGAUAGGGCUGAUU